UAGAAAGUAAGGAAAUCCUACAAGAAUUCUUCGAUUCUUUUAUAAGGGGCAACAGAGUAAUGGGUACCCAGAAGGAGAAGAGAGAGAGAAGGGAGUAGAGCAACUGUCUAAAGAAAUAAUAGCUGAGAACAUCCCAGACAGGGGAAGGAAGUGGAUAAGCAAGUCCAUGAGGCUAAGAGAACUCCUAAUUACUUCAACACAAAAAGACCUUCUCCAACACACAUUAUGUUAAAACUGUCAGAAGUCAAUGACAAAUAAUUUUAUAGGCAGCAAUAAAAAAAAAAAAAGGAACCCUACAAAGGAACUCCCAUUGGGCCAUCAUCAGAUUUCUCAGCAGAAACCCUGCAGGCCAGGCAAGAGCAGAAUGACGUUCUUAAAAUACUGAAUGAUAAAAAAUGCCAGCCAGAAAUACUCUCUCCAGCAAAGUUGUCCUUCAAGAGAAUGAAGAUUGCCCAGGAUAAUAUGUACAAUUGUAAAUACCAUGUGAAAGAUGGCAUUUUAAGUAGGAAUUUCAGGAGAGGGAGAAGAGAAGCCACGUGGAUAUUUCAGGGAUGAUUUCCUGCCUGAGGUUAGAGCAAGCCUGAUGUGUUCAAGGACCAGUAGGGAGGCUCAAAGGAAACGGUGUGAGCGAGGGGAAUAUAGCUGGAGGUCAUCAGAGAUGUGGUGAAGUACCAGCUCCUCAAAGACGCUGAAGCACUGGGGGCCGUUGUCAUGGAGCAGGAUGCCAAGGCAGAUGCCAGGGAGUAUUAGGUGGCUCCCCUGAGCGAAUCACCUGAACAGCGGGGAAAGAAGAGAUCAACCCCUGCGCGCCUGAAUCAGGAAGAGCACCUUUCCACUGGCUGUGUCCCUCCAGCGCCUGCUACUGGCAGAGCUUAACAUUGUGUUCACAGGGCAAAAGGCAAGAUGCUGUAAGGCCUGUCCACUAUGUGAAGAAUGGGGUCAGUGGGGUAAAUUGAGGGCUGAGAGUCAAUAACUGGCAUGGACAGUAGGGAGGGUUGAGGCUUGGAAUGUUUGUUCUUAUUUUGCGUAUAAGUCCCAUGUCACUUGUGACUCUGUAAGACUCAAGUAUUGCUCAUAUGAAGGUGCCUCUGGAAGGAAAAAUUUAUCUGUGCACUUGGAUCUGGCUUGGGAUCUCCUUGGAAAUCUUUCAAACUUUAUUGUGCGAUAUAACUGUAAAUAUUUAUUUCAGGUCUGAAACAGUAUUGGAAAUAUAUCUGAAUAGAGC
ensembl:lncRNA